rnacentral:rRNA from 1 species
GACGAACGCUGGCGGCGUGCUUAACACAUGCAAGUCGAACGGAAAGACCCUGCUUUUGUGGGGUGCUCGAGUGGCGAACGGGUGAGUAACACGUGAGUAACCUGCCCUUGACUUUGGGAUAACUUCAGGAAACUGGGGCUAAUACCGGAUAGGAGCUCCUGCUGCAUGGUGGGGGUUGGAAAGUUUCGGCGGUUGGGGAUGGACUCGCGGCUUAUCCGCUUGUUGGUGGGGUAGUGGCUUACCAAGGCUUUGACGGGUAGCCGGCCUGAGAGGGUUACCGGCCACAUUGGGACUGAGAUACGGCCCAGACUCCUACGGGAGGCAGCAGUGGGGAAUAUUGCACAAUGGGCGGAAGCCUGAUGCAGCAACGCCGCGUGCGGGAUGACGGCCUUCGGGUUGUAAACCGCUUUCGCCUGUGACGAAGCGUGAGUGACGGUAAUGGGUAAAGAAGCACCGGCUAACUACGUG